UACGUAGGGCGCAAGCGUUGUCCGGAAUUAUUGGGCGUAAAGAGCUCGUAGGCGGUCUGUCGCGUCUGUUGUGAAAACUCGAGGCUCAACCUCGGGCUUGCAGUGGAUACGGGCAGACUAGAGUGCGGUAGGGGAGACUGGAAUUCCUGGUGUAGCGGUGGAAUGCGCAGAUAUCGGGAAGAACACCCGUGGCGAAGGCGGCUCUCUGGGACGGUACUGACGCUGAGACGCGAAAGCGUGGGGAGCGAACAGG
rnacentral:rRNA from 1 species